CUAUUCGAGAAAUAAUGAUGGAGAGUGGAAAAUAGAGAUCGAUGUUGCAGAUGAUUCAACUGGAUUUUUUAGUAACUGCCAUAAAAAUGACACUAAAGCAAAUUUGAAGAAUCUCGAUGUAGGCUUUAUGGGGAAAAUCCAAUGUAGCGCUAUUUGUGCGAAGAUGAAAGAUUGCGUAGGAAUUAAUUACAGCAUUGAAAUGUACAGAUGUGAACUGUUGUCGUUUGACCCUGGUCUUGUUACUGCAAUCCCUCAGUCUUUAACACCUGGAUGGUCUUACUACACUAAAUGUUUUAGGCAUAGGGAAGUAUGCAUUGGAUGUUUCUUCUGAGACUUGAUUCUUGAAAGAUAGUGAUAAUAGGCAGACAUUAAGGACUGAUUGGAAAACAUUUUCUUGUUGUUUAUUGAUAAAACGUAGAAUUUUAAAUAUAAGGACUUCAUGGAAUGGCA